rnacentral:rRNA from 1 species
UGGUGGAGUGAUUUGUCUGGUUAAUUCCGUUAACGAACGAGACCUCCGCGUGCUAAAUAGUUCCACUUACAAUUUUUUGUAGGUUGUGGACUUCUUAGAGGGACUUUUGGGUAAUCAAACCAAAGGAAGUUGGAGGCAAUAACA